GAUGAACGCUAGCGGCAGGCCUAAUACAUGCAAGUCGAACGGUGUAGCAAUACACAGUGGCGCACGGGUGCGUAACACGUAUGCAACCUACCUUACAUUGGGGGAUAGCCUUUCGAAAGGGAGAUUAAUACCGCAUAAGACAGUAACUGGGCAUCCAGUAGCUGUUAAAGAUUUAUCGAUGUAAGCUGGGCAUGCGUCCAAUUAGUUAGUUGGCGAGGUAAUGGCUCACCAAGACGAUGAUUGGUAGGGGAACUGAGAGGUCAAUCCCCCACACUGGCACUGGGAUACGGGCCAGACUCCUACGGGAGGCAGCAGUAGGGAAUAUUGGGCAAUGGGCGCAAGCCUGACCCAGCCAUGCCGCGUGCAGGAAGAAGGCGUUAUGCGUUGUAAACUGCUUUUAUACAGGAAGAAACGACCCUUGCGAGGGGCAUUGACGGUACUGUAUGAAUAAGCACCGGCUAACUCCGUGCCAGCCGCCGCCGUAAGAC
rnacentral:rRNA from 1 species